rnacentral:lncRNA from 1 species
GUAGAGAUGGGGUUUCACCAUGUUGGCCACACUGGUCUUGAACUCCUGACUUCAGGUGAUCCGCCCAUCUCGGCCUCCCAAAGUGCUGGGAUUACAGGUAUGAGACACCGCGCCUGGCAAUUGCUUUUUUUUUUUAAGCGAUUCUGCAUUAAAGAAAAGCUGGUUUCGGCCAGGUGCCGUGGCUCACGCCUGUAAUCCCAACACUUUGGGAGGCUGAGCUACCGCACCCGGCCAAUUAUUCAUAUUUACAUAUAAAGAAGAUGACGAAAUAGUUAUCACUUAUCUAACUAAGCUACUGUGACUCCCAAUAAAGCCAAAUUAACUUCUGAUCUUGUUUCCUUUUUCUUUUUCUUUUUCUUUUUGAGACAGAGUUUCACUCUUGUUGCCAAGGCUGGAGUGCAAUGGCACCAUCUUGGCUCACCGCAACCUCCGCCUCCCAGAUUCAAGUGAUUCUCCUGCCUCAGCCUCCCGAGUAGCUGGGAUUACAGGCAUGCGCCACCAUGCCCGGCUAAUUUUUUGUAUUUUUAGUAGAGAAGGGGUUUCACCAUGUUGGCCAGGCUGGUCUCAAACUCCUCAAACUUCAGGUGAUCCACCUGCCUCGGCCUCCCAAAGUGCUGGGAUUACAGGUGUGAUUUACCGUGCCUGGCCAUUAACUUCUGAUCUUAACCUUUGCUUCAAAAAAGAAUGCAAUAGGCCACCACAGUGGCUCACGCCUGUAAUUCCA